CCUACGGGAGGCAGCAGUGAGGAAUAUUGGUCAAUGGACGAGAGUCUGAACCAGCCAAGUAGCGUGAAGGAUGACUGCCCUAUGGGUUGUAAACUUCUUUUAUAAAGGGAUAAAACGAGACACGUGUGCCUUUUUGCAUGUACUUUAUGAAUAAGGAUCGGCUCACUCCGUGCCAGCAGCCGCGGUAAUACGGAGGAUCCGAGCGUUAUCCGGAUUGAUUGGGUUUAAAGGGAGCGUAGAUGGGUUGUUAAGUCAGUUGUGAAAGUUUGCGGCUCAACCGUAAAAUUGCAAUUGAUACUGGCAGGCUUGAGUACAGUGGAGGUAGGAGGAAUUCGUGGUGUAGCGGUGAAAUGCGUAGAUAUCACGAAGAACACCGAUUGCGAAGGCAGCUUACUAAACUGUGACUGACAUUGAUGCUCGAAAGUGUGGGGAGCAAACAGGAUUAGAUACCCCAGUAGUC
rnacentral:rRNA from 1 species